GACGAACGCUGGCGGCGUGCUUAACACAUGCAAGUCGAACGGAAAGGCCCUGCUUUUGUGGGGUGCUCGAGUGGCGAACGGGUGAGUAACACGUGAGUAACCUGCCCUUGACUUUGGGAUAACUUCAGGAAACUGGGGCUAAUACCGGAUAGGAGCUCCUGCUGCAUGGUGGGGGUUGGAAAGUUUCGGCGGUUGGGGAUGGACUCGCGGCUUAUCAGCUUGUUGGUGGGGUAGUGGCUUACCAAGGCUUUGACGGGUAGCCGGCCUGAGAGGGUGACCGGCCACAUUGGGACUGGGAUACGGCCCAGACGCCUACGGGAGGCAGCAGUGGGGAAUAUUGCACAAUGGGCGGAAGCCUGAUGCAGCAACGCCGCGUGCGGGAUGACGGCCUUCGGGUUGUAAACCGCUUUCGCCUGUGACGAAGCGUGAGUGACGGUAAUGGGUAAAGAAGCACCGGCUAACUACGUG
rnacentral:rRNA from 1 species